rnacentral:rRNA from 1 species
UACGUAGGGCGCAAGCGUUAUCCGGAAUUAUUGGGCGUAAAGAGCUCGUAGGCGGCUUGUCGCGUCGAAUGUGAAAUCUCAGGGCUCAACUCUGACAUUGCAUUCGAUACGGGCAGGCUCGAGUUCGGUAGGGGAGACUGGAAUUCCUGGUGUAGCGGUGAAAUGCGCAGAUAUCAGGAGGAACACCGGUGGCGAAGGCGGGUCUCUGGGCCGAUACUGACGCUGAGGAGCGAAAGCGUGGGGAGCGAACAGG